rnacentral:rRNA from 1 species
ACGAUGAACUCCAGCUUGCUGGGGGGAUUAGUGGCGAACGGGUGAGUAACACGUGAGUAACCUGCCCUUGACUCUGGGAUAAGCGCUGGAAACGGCGUCUAAUACCGGAUACGAGCUUCAGCCGCAUGGCUAGGAGUUGGAAAGAAUUUCGGUCAAGGAUGGACUCGCGGCCUAUCAGCUAGUUGGUGAGGUAAUGGCUCACCAAGGCGACGACGGGUAGCCGGCCUGAGAGGGUGACCGGCCACACUGGGACUGAGACACGGCCCAGACUCCUACGGGAGGCAGCAGUGGGGAAUAUUGCACAAUGGGCGCAAGCCUGAUGCAGCAACGCCGCGUGAGGGACGACGGCCUUCGGGUUGUAAACCUCUUUUAGUAGGGAAGAAGCGAAAGUGACGGUACCUGCAGAAAAAGCACCGGCUAACUACGUGCCAGCAGCCGCGGUAAUACGUAGGGUGCAAGCGUUGUCCGGAAUUAUUGGGCGUAAAGAGCUCGUAGGCGGUUUGUCGCGUCUGCUGUGAAAUCUGGGGGCUCAACCCCCAGCCUGCAGUGGGUACGGGCAGACUAGAGUGCGGUAGGGGAGAUUGGAAUUCCUGGUGUAGCGGUGGAAUGCGCAGAUAUCAGGAGGAACACCGAUGGCGAAGGCAGAUCUCUGGGCCGUAACUGACGCUGAGGAGCGAAAGCAUGGGGAGCGAACAGGAUUAGAUACCCUGGUAGUCCAUGCCGUAAACGUUGGGAACUAGAUGUGGGGACCAUUCCACGGUCUCCGUGUCGCAGCUAACGCAUUAAGUUCCCCGCCUGGGGAGUACGGCCGCAAGGCUAAAACUCAAAGGAAUUGACGGGGGCCCGCACAAGCGGCGGAGCAUGCGGAUUAAUUCGAUGCAACGCGAAGAACCUUACCAAGGCUUGACAUAUACCGGAAACGGCCAGAGAUGGUCGCCCCGCAAGGUCGGUAUACAGGUGGUGCAUGGUUGUCGUCAGCUCGUGUCGUGAGAUGUUGGGUUAAGUCCCGCAACGAGCGCAACCCUCGUUCUAUGUUGCCAGCACGUUAUGGUGGGAACUCAUAGGAGACUGCCGGGGUCAACUCGGAGGAAGGUGGGGAUGACGUCAAAUCAUCAUGCCCCUUAUGUCUUGGGCUUCACGCAUGCUACAAUGGCCGGUACAAAGGGCUGCGAUACCGUAAGGUGGAGCGAAUCCCAAAAAGCCGGUCUCAGUUCGGAUUGAGGUCUGCAACUCGACCUCAUGAAGUCGGAGUCGCUAGUAAUCGCAGAUCAGCAACGCUGCGGUGAAUACGUUCCCGGGCCUUGUACACACCGCCCGUCAAGUCAUGAAAGUCGGUAACACC